rnacentral:misc_RNA from 1 species
UCGCCUCCAUCACCACCACCACCACCCAUUGACCCCUAUAACCUCUACUAUAGCGGCGCUGUCUAGUUAGAUUCUAAUGGGCUAUGAGUCUGUGAUUCUUGUGUAUAACACAGUUUAAUGUGGUGACUAGUUUCUAAUGAUAGGAUGAUAUUGAAGGCUUGUAGUGUGGUGGUUCUGCAUGUGAGGUGUCUGGUGGGGAUGAAGAGCAUGUGGUUUGCCAGGGUAUCUGCAUGUGUUUGUUGUCCAUCUUUCACUUUGUCCAUGUGAUCUCAGCACGCCUCAUUAU